UCCGGAGGCUAUUGCUAUCAGGGUUUGACUAAGCCAUGCGAGUCGAGAGGUGUAAGACCUCGGCAUACUGCUCAGUAACACGUGGAUAAUCUGCCCUCAGGUGAGGAAUAAUCCCGGGAAACUGGGGCUAAUGCCUCAUAGGAGACGGGUGCUGGAAUGCUCUGUCUCCCAAAGGUCCGCCGCCUGAGGAUGAGUCUGCGUCCGAUUAGGUUGUUGUUGGGGUAACGGCCCAACAAGCCAUUGAUCGGUACGGGUUGUGGGAGCAAGAGCCCGGAGAUGGAUUCUGAGACAUGAAUCCAGGCCCUACGGGGCGCAGCAGGCGCGAAAACUUUACAAUGCGAGCAAUCGUGAUAAGGAAACCCUGAGUGCCUGUCAAUGCAGGCUGUUCUGGUGUCUAACACGCACCAGGAGAAAGGGCGGGGCAAGACCGGUGCCAGCCGCCGCGGUAAUACCGGCUGCUCGAGUGAUAGCCGCUUUUACUGGGCUUAAAGCGUUCGUAGCUUGGUUGUCAAGUCUCUGGGGAAAUCUUCUGGCUUAACCAGAAGGCGUCUCAGGGAAACUGGCGACCUAG
rnacentral:rRNA from 1 species